GACGAACGCUGGCGGCGUGCCUAAUACAUGCAAGUAGAACGCUGAAGCGAGGAGCUUGCUCUUCUUGGAUGAGUUGCGAACGGGUGAGUAACGCGUAGGUAACCUGCCUGUUAGCGGGGGAUAACUAUUGGAAACGAUAGCUAAUACCGCAUAAAAUUGAUUAUUGCAUGAUUCUUAAUUGAAAGAUGCAACUGCAUCACUACCAGAUGGACCUGCGUUGUAUUAGCUAGUUGGUGAGGUAACGGCUCAACAAGGCGACGAUACAUAGCCGACCUGAGAGGGUGAAUCGCCAAACUGGGAAUGAGACAAGGCCCAGAAUCCUAAGGGAGGGCGCAGUAGGGAAACCUCGGCAAUGGGGGGAAACCUGAACGAACAACGCCGCGUGAGUGAAGAAGGUUUUCGGAUCGUAAAGCUCUGUUGUAAGAGAAGAACGGGUGUGAGAGUGGAAAGUUCACACUGUGACGGUAUCUUAUCAGAAAGCGACGGCUAACUACGUG
rnacentral:rRNA from 1 species